GGAGGGGUGGCCGAGUGGUUAAAGGCAGCAGACUGUAAAUCUGCCGGCGUAAGUCUACGUGGGUUCGAAUCCUACCCCCUCCACCA
rnacentral:tRNA from 1 species